rnacentral:lncRNA from 10 species
AGUGUUCGGGGCCGUUUUGGCGGCUAUGCAGGAUUGGCAGGAGCUGCGAUGCUCACACUUGCCUCGCCGACCGCCAUUUCACAUCCAGCAGAGGAGGCGGGGGCAGCCGCUGAGACGGUUUUUCACAAGGUAAGAAAAUCCGCCCGCGUGAGGAGGGAGGCGAGGCGCAGAUCUCGUGCCGCUGCGGCCUCGCGGGAGGGAAGGGCGGGCGGGCGGCGGAACGGGCGGGGCCGGGUGCGGACGCAGCCGGCCCUUCUCAGGUAACGCCGCGGCUCCGCGCGUGGCCCGGGGGCGGUGCGAAGGGUGGGGGCGCGCGGGCGCGGGCUUCGGCCUAUAAAAGGGCCGCCCUGGCGUUCCCCCUUCCCGAACGUGCCGCGCGAGCCGCGGUGCCCCCUCCUCUUUGCUGCUGCAGUGUCUGCGCCGGGCCAUUUAAUGAGAUUUAUUCACGCACGGCUCUUCUCAGCUUUGCGAGGGGUUGGCAGAUCCAGUGCACAGGGAUUUCCCACUACCGUGUUUUUCUCCCGCCCCCUUCCUUCCCUCUCGUCCUAAUACAUCCUUCGUUGGUUUCCUCGGCCCCGCAGGCUGCGUCCCGGGCACGCGCAAGUACAUGUGCAUUUUAGUGGUUACCAGGUUGCCACGUAUUUGAAGUGGUGUGAGAGCUACUCGUUUGGAACCGUUGUGGAUUUUCAAAUAGGAAAAUCAAAAGGCCCAAAGAGACAGCUCACUGGUGACCAUGCUUUGGGAUUUUCAUAGUUUGAGUAAUUCCUAUGGGCUCUACCACCCAGCGAGUUAAAGAAGACAAGAUUCCACCCCCAGGGGGUUGUGGUUCUGGGAAUGUGAGCAGCUUGUUUUCAGGAGAUCUGCAUCUUGAUCUGGCCUGCUAUUAGGAUCUGUGGUGGUGGUGCCUGUCUGGUUUUAGUUGUUUCUUUUAUCUUACACAGAUUUUUGUAAGUUAUUUGCAUAUAAAGGUUUUUGAAAAGUGAAUGUUUUAUGGGGGCAUCUUGCUUAUACAAAGAAAAAUUAAAACUGUUUUAAAAUAAUCA